rnacentral:rRNA from 1 species
UACCCCGAGGAAAAGAAAUCAACCGAGAUUCCCCCAGUAGCGGCGAGCGAACGGGGAGGAGCCCAGAGCCUGAAUCAGUGUGUGUGUUAGUGGAAGCGUCUGGAAAGGCGUGCGAUACAGGGUGACAGCCCCGUACACAAAAAUGCACAUACUGUGAGCUCGAUGAGUAGGGCGGGACACGUGGUAUCCUGUCUGAAUAUGGGGGGACCAUCCUCCAAGGCUAAAUACUCCUGACUGACCGAUAGUGAACCAGUACCGUGAGGGAAAGGCGAAAAGAACCCCGGCGAGGGGAGUGAAAAAGAACCUGAAACCGUGUACGUACAAGCAGUGGGAGCCUCUUUAUGGGGUGACUGCGUACCUUUUGUAUAAUGGGUCAGCGACUUAUAUUCUGUAGCAAGGUUAACCGAAUAGGGGAGCCGAAGGGAAACCGAGUCUUAACUGGGCGUUAAGUUGCAGGGUAUAGACCCGAAACCCGGUGAUCUAGCCAUGGGCAGGUUGAAGGUUGGGUAACACUAACUGGAGGACCGAACCGACUAAUGUUGAAAAAUUAGCGGAUGACUUGUGGCUGGGGGUGAAAGGCCAAUCAAACCGGGAGAUAGCUGGUUCUCCCCGAAAGCUAUUUAGGUAGCGCCUCGUGAAUUCAUCUCCGGGGGUAGAGCACUGUUUCGGCAAGGGGGUCAUCCCGACUUACCAACCCGAUGCAAACUGCGAAUACCGGAGAAUGUUAUCACGGGAGACACACGGCGGGUGCUAACGUCCGUCGUGAAGAGGGAAACAACCCAGACCGCCAGCUAAGGUCCCAAAGUCAUGGUUAAGUGGGAAACGAUGUGGGAAGGCCCAGACAGCCAGGAUGUUGGCUUAGAAGCAGCCAUCAUUUAAAGAAAGCGUAAUAGCUCACUGGUCGAGUCGGCCUGCGCGGAAGAUGUAACGGGGCUAAACCAUG